rnacentral:lncRNA from 10 species
AGGAGCAGAAAAGCAGCAAGCCAAGCAUGCUGGGUUCCCAGAAGACCAACACUAUAUUCUGAAGACACCAAGAAGAUAUUCAGUUUUUCCCCACUCAGAGAUGACAUGAUUGCAGACAUGACAUCCAUGAGCUCAAAGCUCUCAUCUCCAAAUAAACAUUGAAUUCAGCCAAACAUUGGUCAAGCACCUACUGCCAGCAGACAUGUUUUGCAUACCAGUGAAACUAGUGACAUCGGCUGGUCUAAAGGACCCCACAAGCAGUUGACUCAAAGAACAAAGUUUCCAAGUUCUGAUUUUCAUACCCCUUCCUCGAUCAAUCAACAACCACAAUUUUCUAGCCCCUUGCCCUUCAUAAUUCUCUUAAAAACCCCAGCCCAGAACCCCUCAGAGAUGGAUUCGAGGGUCUCCUUCCAUCUCCUUGCUCAGCCACCCUACAAUCAUUAAAGGCUUUCUCUGCUGCAA